UCAGCAGGAUUCACACUUCCGACCUAGAAUACAGGCACAGACAAUAAACCUGAAGAUCGCUUCUGUUUCUGGCAGCACCCCAGGCAACACAAGAUGGCUUAAUGUGUGGGAUAAAAGGACCGAAGCAAUCGUUACAGCCUCACAAACAAGAACUGAAACUUUUUAUUACUUGACAUCUUUCCCAUUGGCCACUUGCCUUUUUCCCUUUGAGAAGUAAAGAAAAGAAGACAAAAGGAUGGGGACGAGGAAACAUUAAAAGGGAAAAACACUAUAAUGAAAAGUACCAUGAGCAUAUCAACUACUCAUCUACUGUCUUCCAAAAACACAAACUAACUUAGACUGUGGUGA